rnacentral:rRNA from 1 species
UACGUAGGUGGCGAGCGUUGUCCGGAUUUACUGGGCGUAAAGAGCGCGCAGGCGGUCGUACAAGUCGCGUGUGAAAGCCCCCGGCUCAACUGGGGAGGGUCACGCGAUACUGUUCGACUCGAAGGCAGGAGAGGGAAGUGGAAUUCCCGGUGUAGUGGUGAAAUGCGUAGAUAUCGGGAGGAACACCAGUGGCGAAGGCGACUUCCUGGCCUGUUCUUGACGCUGAGGCGCGAAAGCGUGGGGGAGCAAACAGG